rnacentral:rRNA from 1 species
UACGAAGGGGGCUAGCGUUGUUCGGAAUCACUGGGCGUAAAGGGCGCGUAGGCGGGUCUUUAAGUCAGGGGUGAAAUCCUGGAGCUCAACUCCAGAACUGCCUUUGAUACUGAGGAUCUUGAGUACGGGAGAGGUGAGUGGAACUGCGAGUGUAGAGGUGAAAUUCGUAGAUAUUCGCAAGAACACCAGUGGCGAAGGCGGCUCACUGGCCCGUAACUGACGCUGAGGCACGAAAGCGUGGGGAGCAAACAGG